AUACUCUGGUUUCUCUUCAGAUCGUAUAAAUCUUUUGCCUUUUACUAAAGAUUUCCAUGGAGAGGAACAGCUCUGAAUCUUAAUAUACCAUCUCAUGCCAGUUAGAAUGGCGA
ensembl:snRNA U5 U5 spliceosomal RNA